AGCGAACGCUGGCGGCAGGCCUAACACAUGCAAGUCGAACGAACCUUUCGGGGUUAGUGGCGGACGGGUGAGUAACACGUGGGAACGUGCCUUUAGGUUCGGAAUAACUCAGGGAAACUUGUGCUAAUACCGAAUGUGCCCUUCGGGGGAAAGAUUAAUCGCCUUUAGAGCGGCCCGCGUCUGAUUAGCUAGUUGGUUGAGGUAAUGGCUCACCAAGGCGACGAUCAGUAGCUGGUCUGAGAGGAUGAUCAGCCACAUUGGGACUGAGGCACGGCCCAAACUCCUACGGGAGGCAGCAGUAGGGAGUCUUGCGCAAUGGGCGAAAGCCUGACGCAGCCAUGCCGCGUGAAUGAUGAAGGUCUUAGGAUUGUAAAAUUCUUUCACCGGGGACGAUAAUGACGGUACCCGGAGAAGAAGCCCCGGCUAACUUCGUG
rnacentral:rRNA from 1 species